GCUGGGCAUGGCGGCGAGUGCCUCUAAUCCCAGCUACUCAGGAGGCUGAGGCAGGAGAAUCGCUUGAACCCGGGAGUUGAAGAUUGCAGUGAGCUGAGACAGUGCCACUGCAAUCCAGCCUGGGUGAUAGAGCGAGACUCUGUCUCAA
rnacentral:SRP_RNA from 1 species